UGGGGAAUAUUGGACAAUGGGCGAAAGCCUGAUCCAGCCAUGCCGCGUGUGUGAAGAAGGUCUUCGGAUUGUAAAGCACUUUAAGUUGGGAGGAAGGGCAGUAAGCGAAUACCUUGCUGUUUUGACGUUACCGACAGAAUAAGCACCGGCUAACUCUGUGCCAGCAGCCGCGGUAAUACAGAGGGUGCAAGCGUUAAUCGGAAUUACUGGGCGUAAAGCGCGCGUAGGUGGUUCGUUAAGUUGAAUGUGAAAGCCCUGUGCUCAACCUGGGAACUGCAUCCAAAACUGGCGAGCUAGAGUAGGGCAGAGGGUGGUGGAAUUUCCUGUGUAGCGGUGAAAUGCGUAGAUAUAGGAAGGAACACCAGUGGCGAAGGCGACCACCUGGGCUCAUACUGACACUGAGGUGCGAAAGCGUGGUGCGCAAACAGG
rnacentral:rRNA from 1 species